UACAGAGGGUGCGAGCGUUAAUCGGAAUUACUGGGCGUAAAGCGCGCGUAGGCGGCUUUGCAAGUCGGGUGUGAAAUCCCCAGGCUUAACCUGGGAACUGCAUUCGAGACUGCAUUGCUAGAGUAUGGGAGAGGGAAGUGGAAUUUCCGGUGUAGCGGUGAAAUGCGUAGAUAUCGGGAGGAACAUCUGUGGCGAAGGCGACACCCUGGACCAGCACUGACACUGGAGGCACGAAAGCGUGGGGAGCAAACAGG
rnacentral:rRNA from 1 species